rnacentral:lncRNA from 7 species
GGAGAGUUAAAGUUUUUUCAAAUUUGACAAAAUUUAUACAAUAAAAUAAUAACAUUUACGAUAUCAAAUGUAUAUCAUUAGAUUCUACAUUAAAUAUAUUUUCAUACUAUAUCUAUUCCGUGUCAUAAAUCUUUAUGAUUCUCGAUAUACUUUUGGUCAAACUUUAAAAACUAUGAUUCUCUAUUGGAAUGACUUAUAUUUUGGGACGGAGUGAGUAACUUCUAUUAUGCAUACUGCCUGGCUUGAAUUAAUUUCAACAUGGUUUACAAUGAACAUGGUGUGGGUACUUAUACACAACAGUUUUUGUUGCUCCAAAAUGUGACAAUAUCCCGAUUCUUGUAGGUAUGCCCUAUGUGCAGUGCAGAAGUAUCAACCUCCAGCAACAAGGAGCCAUGAUUGCUCUCGGAUGGCCAUCUUGGGCAUUUGAUGGGAUUAACUAGCGGCACCACUGCAGCAUCUUUAUGCUUCAAGCAAAAGCAUAAAGGAACGUCUUACAUACAUGCAAGGAGAUCAGGAAAUAAUCCUCUUGUCAAUCUAAAGUUUUGUCCUGGUUUUCUGCUCACUGGAUUUAUUGGCCCUGCAGCUUAUAUGGUCUUAGUUCCCUUCGGACGCCUUAUGAUCCAUAAAACAUGCCAAUUAUAUUAUAUUGUUAGUUAUUCUUUUUACUGAUCGCAUGAUCGUCGUAUAUAUUUGCUUGUUAAAUGGUGAUAAAACAUUUUUUUCUUCUACAUAUUUUAUUGUUAGAAUAAGGCCGGAUCCAAUGCAUUCGGUCUAUACCGUGCUAGAGAUCGUCGACAGAUUUUAUCUAACCACAGACACUCUAGAGCAUAGAUUUUAUCAUUGUUCUACCGCUAUAAUAUUUUUAUAGACUUUACGUAAAAUGAAACACGACAUUUUAUCAGCACAUAAUUUAAGGGAAAAUACAAAGUAAAUGAAAUACGAAAAAACUAAAAUUACAUAGCUCG